UACAGAGGUCUCAAGCGUUGUUCGGAUUCAUUGGGCGUAAAGGGUGCGUAGGCGGCGCGGUAAGUCGGGUGUGAAAUCUCGGGGCUUAACUCCGAAACUGCAUUCGAUACUGCCGUGCUUGAGGACUGGAGAGGAGACUGGAAUUUACGGUGUAGCGGUGAAAUGCGUAGAUAUCGUAAGGAACACCAGUGGCGAAGGCGGCUCUCUGGACAGUUCCUGACGCUGAGGCACGAAAGCCAGGGGAGCAAACAGG
rnacentral:rRNA from 1 species